CAUUUCAUAAAUCAUAUUUUAGGUUUACCGUCUACUAUUUCAAAAAUCAAAUGUUUUGUUAAUUAACUAAUCUGCCCUAUUCCAUUUUAAACCCUAACUCAUUUUCUUCUUCCCUUUCUUCUCUCUAUUCUCAUUUUCCUCACCACGCUCUAUACAAUCUUCGUUAACAUUCCUCAUCGGAGAGCAUUGCCAUCAGAGACUGUCUCUCUACCAUUUUCACCGUAAGAGUCGUCAGUGAAGCAUUUCUUGAUUGCAAAUCGUACCAACAGCGGCCCAAAUCGUUGGAAGCUCUGCAAAUUGUGGCUGUAGCGGUG
rnacentral:lncRNA from 1 species